rnacentral:rRNA from 1 species
UACGAAGGGUGCAAACGUUGCUCGGAAUCACUGGGCGUAAAGCGCACGUAGGCGGACUCUUAAGUCGGUGGUGAAAUCCUGGAGCUCAACUCCAGAACUGCCCUCGAUACUGGGAGUCUCGAGUCCGGGAGAGGUGAGUGGAACUGCGAGUGUAGAGGUGAAAUUCGUAGAUAUUCGCAAGAACACCAGUGGCGAAGGCGGCUCACUGGCCCGGUACUGACGCUGAGGUGCGAAAGCGUGGGGAGCAAACAGG